rnacentral:rRNA from 1 species
UACGGAGGGAGCUAGCGUUGUUCGGAAUUAUUGGGCGUAAAGAGCUCGUAGGCGGUUUGUCGCGUCUGCUGUGAAAACUGGAGGCUCAACCUCCAGCCUGCAGUGGGUACGGGCAGACUAGAGUGCGGUAGGGGAGAUUGGAAUUCCUGGUGUAGCGGUGGAAUGCGCAGAUAUCAGGAGGAACACCGGUGGCGAAGGCGGGUCUCUGGGCCGAUACUGACGCUGAGGAGCGAAAGCGUGGGGAGCGAACAGG